AUUCUUCCGGGGGAGGCGGGCUUGUGAGCCCUCAAAGGCGCGUGCGUGUUUUGGACCGCGAUAACUAACAAGUCAGUGGUGGCAAAAGGGUGCGCGGAGAAGCUGAGGGGAGAAAAGACGCAGAAUGUUGGCUUAAAGGAGGCGGGCUGAAAUUGACUUAUGGGCGAAAUACUCCUACAGAGUCUACGCGAAGAGGGAUUUGACGAUCUCAGGUGUAUCUUUUUUUCUACCGGGUUUCUGGGAUAGAAGGAAUGAGGUAUAAGAGGACAGAUUUCUAAGAACUGAAUUGACUCCAGGGUCUUGUUCUAUUGCCCAGGCCGGAGUGCUGUG